GCCUGAGUGGCUCAGUCAGUUGAGUGUCUGACUUUGGCUCAGGUCAUAAUCUCGCAGUUUGUGAGUUCGAGCCCUGCGUCAGGCU
rnacentral:tRNA from 1 species